AGUUCAUUGAAGAGAUUCAGCUUGGAAACUGCAUACUGAUGAACAAGAACUGGACUGUUACAGGUGGAGGAGAGAAACAGAAGGACAGAAGAUGAGAGAAGAUGUCAUUAGCCCUGUUCGGUCGGGACUAGUUUUACAGGGAAUAAAUUAGAAAUUAGUCGUUAGAGAAAUUUGUGUUUCACAGACGUACUUGGUGAUUUUAAUCCUGUCCGAAU